CCCCUAGUAACGGCGAGUGAAGCGGGAAGAGCUCAAAUUUGAAAUCUGGCGGUCUAAGGCCGUCCGAGUUGUAAUCUAUAGAGGUGUUUUCCGUGCCGGACCGUGUACAAGUCCCUUGGAACAGGGCGUCAUAGAGGGUGAGAAUCCCGUCCAUGACACGGACUACCGAAGUGCUCUGUGAUACACCUUCAAAGAGUCGAGUUGUUUGGGAAUGCAGCUCAAAACGGGUGGUAAAUUCCAUCUAAAGCUAAAUACAGGCGAGAGACCGAUAGCGAACAAGUACCGUGAGGGAAAGAUGAAAAGAACUUUGGAAAGAGAGUUAAACAGUACGUGAAAUUGUUGAAAGGGAAACGCUUGAAGUCAGUCGCGUCUUCCAGGACUCAGCCUUGCUUCUGCUCGGUGUACUUCCUGGCGGAUGGGCCAGCAUCGAUUUUGAUCGCCGGAAAAGGGCGGGAGGAAUGUGGCAGCUUGCUGUGUUAUAGCCUCCCGUCGUACACGGUGGUUGGGAUCGAGGACUGCAGCACGCCUUUGGUCGGGGUUCGCCCACGCCACGUGCUUAGGAUGCUGGCGUAAUGGCU
rnacentral:rRNA from 1 species